rnacentral:rRNA from 1 species
GACGAACGCUGGCGGCGUGCUUAACACAUGCAAGUCGAACGGAAAGGCCCUGCUGUUGUGGGGUGCUCGAGUGGCGAACGGGUGAGUAACACGUGAGUAACCUGCCCUUGACUUUGGGAUAACUUCAGGAAACUGGGGCUAAUACCGGAUAGGAGCUCCUGCUGCAUGGUGGGGGUUGGAAAGUUUCGGCGGGUGGGGAUGGACUCGCGGCUUGUCAGCUUGUUGGUGGGGUAGUGGCUUACCAAGGCUUUGACGGGUAGCCGGCCUGAGAGGGUGACCGGCCCCAUUGGGACUGGGAUGCGGCCCAGCCUACUACGGGAGGCAGCAGUGGGGAAUAUUGCACUAUGGGCGGGAGCCUGAUGCAGCAACGCCGCGUGCGGGAUAACGGCCUUCCGGUUGUAAACCGCUUUCGCCUGUGACGAAGCGUGAGUGACGGUAAUGGGUAAAGAAACACCGGCUAACUACGUG